UAGAGAGCGAUAUAUCAGAUGAGGGCGGUCGUUUUUCCCAGGCGAGAGCGUUCUCAGUCUCUAUCACCUGCACUUUUAUCUUCACUUCCUCCGUCUCCGUUUCCCUUUUCUCCCCUUUCGCCCACCUCCCCAACACCAUGCACUCCAUUCUCCAUCUCCAUCUCCCUUUCACGAGCCUACGCGCCGCUGUUCCCCCUACC
rnacentral:misc_RNA from 1 species